AUUGAACGCUGGCGGCAGGCCUAACCCAUGCAAGUCGAACGCGUGGCGGACGGGUGAGUAAUGUCUGGGAAACUGCCUGAGGGAGGGGGAUAACUACUGGACACGAUAUAUAAUAGCACAUACCAUCGGAUGUCCCCAGAUGGGUAUCGCUAGUAGGUGGGGUAACGGCUCACCUAGGCGACGCUCCCUAGCUGGUCUGAGAGGAUGACCAGCCACACUGGAACUGAGACACGGUCCAGACUCCUACGUGAGGCAGCAGUGGGGAAUAUUGCACAAUGGGCGCAAGCCUGAUGCAGCCAUGCCGCGUGUAUGAAGAAGGCCUUCGGGUUGUAAAGUACUUUCAGCGGGGAGGCGUUACCCGCAGAAGAAGCACCGGCUAACUCCGUGCCAGCAGCCGCGGUAAUUC
rnacentral:rRNA from 1 species